rnacentral:tRNA from 1 species
GCGGGGAUGCCGGAGCGGUCAAACGGGACAGACUCAAAAUCUGUUGGCUUAGUGCCUUCGAGAGUUCGAAUCUUUCUCCCCGCA